rnacentral:rRNA from 1 species
UACAGAGGGGGCAAGCGUUGUUCGGAAUUACUGGGCGUAAAGCGUGUGUAGGCGGCCACGUAAGUCGGAUGUGAAAGCCCCAGGCUCAACCUGGGAAGUGCACUCGAUACUGCGUGGCUUGAGUAUCGGAGAGGUUGGUGGAAUUCUCGGUGUAGAGGUGAAAUUCGUAGAUAUCGGGAGGAACACCGGUGGCGAAGGCGGCCAACUGGACGAAUACUGACGCUGAGACACGAAAGCGUGGGGAGCAAACAGG